GGGUUGUGAGGUUAAGCGACUAAGCGUACACGGUGGAUGCCCUGGCAGUCAGAGGCGAUGAAGGACGUGCUAAUCUGCGAUAAGCGUCGGUAAGGUGAUAUGAACCGUUAUAACCGGCGAUUUCCGAAUGGGGAAACCCAGUGUGAUUCGUCACACUAUCAUUAACUGAAUCCAUAGGUUAAUGAGGCGAACCGGGGGAACUGAAACAUCUAAGUACCCCGAGGAAAAGAAAUCAACCGAGAUUCCCCCAGUAGCGGCGAGCGAACGGGGAGCAGCCCAGAGCCUGAAUCAGUGUGUGUGUUAGUGGAAGCGUCUGGAAAGGCGUGCGAUACAGGGUGACAGCCCCGUACACAAAAAUGCACAUGCUGUGAGCUCGAUGAGUAGGGCGGGACACGUGGUAUCCUGUCUGAAUAUGGGGGGACCAUCCUCCAAGGCUAAAUACUCCUGACUGACCGAUAGUGAACCAGUACCGUGAGGGAAAGGCGAAAAGAACCCCGGCGAGGGGAGUGAAAAAGAACCUGAAACCGUGUACGUACAAGCAGUGGGAGCCUCUUUAUGGGGUGACUGCGUACCUUUUGUAUAAUGGGUCAGCGACUUAUAUUCUGUAGCAAGGUUAACCGAAUAGGGGAGCCGAAGGGAAACCGAGUCUUAACUGGGCGUUAAGUUGCAGGGUAUAGACCCGAAACCCGGUGAUCUAGCCAUGGGCAGGUUGAAGGUUGGGUAACACUAACUGGAGGACCGAACCGACUAAUGUUGAAAAAUUAGCGGAUGACUUGUGGCUGGGGGUGAAAGGCCAAUCAAACCGGGAGAUAGCUGGUUCUCCCCGAAAGCUAUUUAGGUAGCGCCUCGUGAAUUCAUCUCCGGGGGUAGAGCACUGUUUCGGCAAGGGGGUCAUCCCGACUUACCAACCCGAUGCAAACUGCGAAUACCGGAGAAUGUUAUCACGGGAGACACACGGCGGGUGCUAACGUCCGUCGUGAAGAGGGAAACAACCCAGACCGCCAGCUAAGGUCCCAAAGUCAUGGUUAAGUGGGAAACGAUGUGGGAAGGCCCAGACAGCCAGGAUGUUGGCUUAGAAGCAGCCAUCAUUUAAAGAAAGCGUAAUAGCUCACUGGUCGAGUCGGCCUGCGCGGAAGAUGUAACGGGGCUAAACCAUGCACCGAAGCUGCGGCAGCGACACUAUGUGUUGUUGGGUAGGGGAGCGUUCUGUAAGCCUGUGAAGGUGUACUGUGAGGUAUGCUGGAGGUAUCAGAAGUGCGAAUGCUGACAUAAGUAACGAUAAAGCGGGUGAAAAGCCCGCUCGCCGGAAGACCAAGGGUUCCUGUCCAACGUUAAUCGGGGCAGGGUGAGUCGACCCCUAAGGCGAGGCCGAAAGGCGUAGUCGAUGGGAAACAGGUUAAUAUUCCUGUACUUGGUGUUACUGCGAAGGGGGGACGGAGAAGGCUAUGUUGGCCGGGCGACGGUUGUCCCGGUUUAAGCGUGUAGGCUGGUUUUCCAGGCAAAUCCGGAAAAUCAAGGCUGAGGCGUGAUGACGAGGCACUACGGUGCUGAAGCGACAAAUGCCCUGCUUCCAGGAAAAGCCUCUAAGCAUCAGGUAACAUCAAAUCGUACCCCAAACCGACACAGGUGGUCAGGUAGAGAAUACCAAGGCGCUUGAGAGAACUCGGGUGAAGGAACUAGGCAAAAUGGUGCCGUAACUUCGGGAGAAGGCACGCUGAUACGUAGGUGAAGUCCCUCGCGGAUGGAGCUGAAAUCAGUCGAAGAUACCAGCUGGCUGCAACUGUUUAUUAAAAACACAGCACUGUGCAAACACGAAAGUGGACGUAUACGGUGUGACGCCUGCCCGGUGCCGGAAGGUUAAUUGAUGGGGUUAGCGGCAACGCGAAGCUCUUGAUCGAAGCCCCGGUAAACGGCGGCCGUAACUAUAACGGUCCUAAGGUAGCGAAAUUCCUUGUCGGGUAAGUUCCGACCUGCACGAAUGGCGUAAUGAUGGCCAGGCUGUCUCCACCCGAGACUCAGUGAAAUUGAACUCGCUGUGAAGAUGCAGUGUACCCGCGGCAAGACGGAAAGACCCCGUGAACCUUUACUAUAGCUUGACACUGAACAUUGAGCCUUGAUGUGUAGGAUAGGUGGGAGGCUUUGAAGUGUGGACGCCAGUCUGCAUGGAGCCGACCUUGAAAUACCACCCUUUAAUGUUUGAUGUUCUAACGUAGACCCGUGAUCCGGGUUGCGGACAGUGUCUGGUGGGUAGUUUGACUGGGGCGGUCUCCUCCUAAAGAGUAACGGAGGAGCACGAAGGUUGGCUAAUCCUGGUCGGACAUCAGGAGGUUAGUGCAAUGGCAUAAGCCAGCUUGACUGCGAGCGUGACGGCGCGAGCAGGUGCGAAAGCAGGUCAUAGUGAUCCGGUGGUUCUGAAUGGAAGGGCCAUCGCUCAACGGAUAAAAGGUACUCCGGGGAUAACAGGCUGAUACCGCCCAAGAGUUCAUAUCGACGGCGGUGUUUGGCACCUCGAUGUCGGCUCAUCACAUCCUGGGGCUGAAGUAGGUCCCAAGGGUAUGGCUGUUCGCCAUUUAAAGUGGUACGCGAGCUGGGUUUAGAACGUCGUGAGACAGUUCGGUCCCUAUCUGCCGUGGGCGCUGGAGAACUGAGGGGGGCUGCUCCUAGUACGAGAGGACCGGAGUGGACGCAUCACUGGUGUUCGGGUUGUCAUGCCAAUGGCACUGCCCGGUAGCUAAAUGCGGAAGAGAUAAGUGCUGAAAGCAUCUAAGCACGAAACUUGCCCCGAGAUGAGUUCUCCCUGA
rnacentral:rRNA from 1 species